UAGGAGUUGGACUUGAUGGUCCUUGUGUGUCUCUGCAAACUCAGAAUGUUCUUGAUUCUAUGAAAACACCACUGAUAUAGCAUAGAACAUACUGUGCUUAUAUGUGAUGAAACCUUUGUCCCAUAAAGAGCCAUUGUCAUUGGUGAGGGUGGGGUUUGAGCAAGGAGUGGAUACAGACUGAACCUUUGACUGACUGAGUUAACUGCUUUAGUAGAAACAGUGCACUAACAUGCUGAGGGAAAUCCCAGGGCAAAAUCUAAAUAUGUUGGUGACCGUAAAUGAAGUGCAACACAUGAAUGUAUUCCCCCUGAGAAAUGCAGUAAACUAUUUUGCUAUCAAGAGCAGUAAGAUUUCAUCAUACAGUGAAAUUGUUCUGAUUCUUUCCAGAUAUUUCCAUACAGCGAGAACUGUCUGCUCAGUACUGGUCACAGAAAGCACCUUGAAACUGCUACUCAGCAUUACAGAAGCUCUACUUCCAUUUCAGCCAAAGGUGGAGGAGCCGUUUUCACAGUGUAAUGAGCAAUGA
rnacentral:lncRNA from 1 species